ACCUACCAGAAAAUACUUUAUAGCAUUCGUUUAACUCUAUAAUAUUAAUUAAAAAAGGUCGACAUUAUGCUAAUUUUCGAAAAGAAAGGGUAUUAUUAAGGUAGUGCAUCACAGUAAUGUGUUUGCGGGAG
rnacentral:ncRNA from 1 species